UAAAGUCAAAUGACCUUUAGGCCGUUGCACGUAUUCUGAGAACAUGAAGCCCCGCUACGAAAGUAACUUUAUUACCUCCGACCCCACGAAAGCUAAGAAACAAACUGGGAUUAGAUACCCCACUAUGCUUAGCCCUAAACCUAGAUAUUUAUUCUACAAAAAAUAUCCGCCAGGGGACUACGAGCGCUAGCUUAAAACCCAAAGGACUUGACGGUGUCUCAGACCCACCUAGAGGAGCCUGUUCUAGAACCGAUAAUCCACGUUUAACCUCACCACCCCUUGUUUUCCCCGCCUAUAUACCGCCGUCGCAAGCUUACCCUGUGAAGGACAAACAGUAAGCAGGAUGGGUAUACCCCAGAACGUCAGGUCGAGGUGUAGCUUACGAGGUGGGAAGAAAUGGGCUACAUUUUCUGCAUCAGAAUAUACGAAUGGCAUUAUGAAACUUAAUGCCUGAAGGUGGAUUUAGUAGUAAAAAUCAAAUAGAGAGUCAUUUUGAAUUAGGCUCUGAGACGCGCACACACCGCCCGUCGCCC
rnacentral:rRNA from 1 species